rnacentral:rRNA from 1 species
AUUGAACGCUGGCGGCAGGCCUAACACAUGCAAGUCGAACGAGUGGCGGACGGGUGAGUAAUGUCUGGGAAACUGCCCGAUGGAGGGGGCUAACUACUGGAAACGGUAGCUACUACCGCCUACCAUAGUAUGUGCCCAGAUGGGCUUAGCUAGUAGGUGGGGUACCGGCUCACCUAGGCGACGAUCCCUAGCUGGUCUGAGAGGAUGACCGGCGACACUGGAACUGAAACACCGUCCAGACUCCACCGCGAGGCAGCAGUGGGGAAUAUUGCACAAUGGGCGCAAGCGUGAUGCAGCCAUGCCGCGUGUAUGAAGAAGGCCUUCGGGUUGUAAAGUAAUUUCAGCGAUGAGGCGUUACUCGCAGAAGAAGCAACGGCUAACUCCGUGCCAGCAGCCGCGGUAAUUC